rfam:Flavobacterium hibernum strain DSM 12611 Contig05, whole genome shotgun sequence.
UUCUAGCCCUAAUGGAAGCGACAUCCUUUUUCUUGCUUCUUUAGCAAGGAAAAGAUAUAGCGAACAGCAGGAAAUAGC